CAGUCGCCGCGGUAAAACGAAGGGUGCAAGCGUUAAUCGGAAUUACUGGGCGUAAAGCGUGCGUAGGCGGUGGUUUAAGUCCGUUGUGAAAGCCCUGGGCUCAACCUGGGAAUUGCAGUGGAUACUGGGUCACUAGAGUGUGGUAGAGGAUAGUGGAAUUUCCGGUGUAGCAGUGAAAUGCGUAGAGAUCGGAAGGAACAUCUGUGGCGAAGGCGACUAUCUGGGCCAACACUGACACUGAGGCACGAAAGCGUGGGGAGCAAACAGGAUUAGAUACCCGCGUAGUCCCUGUCUCUUAUCC
rnacentral:rRNA from 1 species